ensembl:lncRNA
AUGAACUUCCUUGUUUAUGUCAUCUGGUCCUCUGGAACCUGGAGGAAUCAUGGCAGUGAAAAACAACAGGCAGGAGACAGUAAAAGGACCUUUUUUUCAAACUUCAGAAAACAGCUAGGAUGCAUAAUCGUCAUGACGGAUGCAGAAAAGAUGGUCCUCAUGGUAGACGUCACGGUGCCAUUUGAAAACAGGUCACCAGCCUUCCACGAGACUCAAGCAUGGAAGGCUCGGAAGUACACCCCACUGGCCGAGACCCUGAGAGCCCAGGGCUACGAGGUCCAGAUCCACGCCCUGAUCGUGGGACCCCCACAACAAGCCGGUACUGACAGCGUGCGGAGUCAGUCGACGCUACGCCCAGCUCAUGAGACAGCUCAUGGUGUCUGAUGCCAUCAGGUGGCCCAGAGACAUUUAUACGGAACACAUCACAGGACACCGUCAAUACCACAUUGAGUAAUCGAGACCGCCAACCAGGGAAAUAACCCAUUUCCUUCCCUGACAAACCAAGGGACGCACCCCACCCAUGUACUUAUUCGCUACACCAAUGCGGACUUGGACUCUUAAUACAUUCCAUGGGUGUAUUAAGCCAUGAGCCCACUUAUCCACUGACACUCUAAAAACUCCCACACCCCAAUCUAGGGCUAUGCUGGUUAUAUAUGUAUCUCUUCAUCCUUGUAACUGAUACCGGUAAUCCCUCAUAACUCAAGCCUGACCCCAUAGGUACAGUACCUUCCCUCUGAACUUGUGUAUAUUUGAUUUUAAACAUUAACUUUAAUAACAUUUUUAAUUCUGUAUGUAGCACUGGUCCUAGGCAGUUCAGUUUUCAGGCCCUAUCAGAAGAGGCAGUUUCAGACUUGGCGAUCCCCCACCACAUCUACUUUUUCACACAGGUUUUCUCAACAGUGGGUCAAUGGUCAACACAGGCAUUCGUGAUUGUGCACAUCAAAAAAGGCUACGCAGGUGGUUAGCUCCUAGUGCCAGUCCCGUCCCAAAUAGACUCGCUGGGUCUAUUUCUUUCACACAUUGAUUACUUGGCGUUUUGGGGAAAACACUCGUGUUUUCAUGACAGACAUCACAGCUGAAAAGUUAUCAGCCAAUUCCAUCCGAGGAGCCCUUCUUAGUUAAGCUGUCUACUGUGUGUAUGUAUAUAUAUAUAUAUAUAUAUAUACACACACACACACACACACACAGCUAUUC